UAAGGAAUAUUGCUCAAUGGGAGAAAUCCUGAAGCAGCAACGCCGCGUGGAGGAUGAAGGGUCUAUGACUUGUAAACUCCUGUAAAGAAGGAAAAAAUUCCCAUUAGAUGGGAGAUGAUGGUACUUCUGGAGUAAGCCCCGGCUAACUACGUGCCAGCAGCCGCGGUAAUACGUAGGGGGCAAGCGUUGUCCGGAUUUACUGGGUGUAAAGGGUGCUCAGGCGGAUUUGUAAGUCAGAGGUGAAAUCUUACAGCUUAACUGUGAAACUGCCUUUGAUACUGCAAGCCUAGAGUAUGGAAGAGGGUGAUGGAAUAUCUGGUGUAGCAGUGAAAUGCGUAGAUAUCAGAUAGAACACCAAUGGCGAAGGCAGUCACUUGGUCCAUUACUGACGCUAAAGCACGAAAGCGUGGGUAGCAAACA
rnacentral:rRNA from 1 species